UCUGGAAGAGGACGGAAAAAGGCAGGGUCAGGAGGUGCCACUCACAGCCCACGGACCCUCGCCUGGUUCAGGCCGCGGACGUCCUCCCUGCCGCACUCUGCCUCCCAGGCCAGACCUUUCUGUCGCCACCACUGCUUUGCUUACACCACCUGCCAGAACAGCCCAGAGCAAUUAUUGACUUUGCCUGGGGCGGGAUAUUAAGCAGGAGUUAUUACGUUCGCCAUCAUGUGUCUCUGGGGGGGGGGACCAACCCUUGGCUUUCUCCUCUCCUCGCAGAUACAGGAAGUUACUGUUAUCAGUUUGUAACUUUCCUUGGGUCCCUUAGUCAGAGACCUGCGGAGGGAAAGGCAUCUCACAAAGGCAUCUCACGGGGAGAGAGCUGUGAGCCGUCUGUCAGGAGCACCCAUGCCAGGAAAACAAACCCAGGCCUUGAGACCCAGUGCCGGCUUGCCACAGGACCCUGCCACACGCCCAGGAAGCAGGUCUCUUUUGCCCUCUUGAUUGAGACAGAUUGGUUUUGCCUAGCCUGCGUCUUAUUCUGGUGGAAAUAGUGUGGGAUUUAGAGUCAUGCAGAUGUGGGCUCAAACCCAAGUCCCUCCACUGUGACCUUGGGGCAGAUGCUGCUUGUCCGGCCUUUCCCGUGAUUCAAGUCAAGAGCAGUGUCCUCCACCCCGCGCCGGCACGGAGCCCCCUGCAGCCGCCGUUGCCACCGUGCCCCGGGAAGGCACCGAGCCGCCCCGACGCCCCUCGCUUGCACGGCUGCCUGCGGAGCCGACGUGCGGCAGGAGGCAGCCGCUCUGGCGGCCCUCGCGGGCUCGGUGUUCCUGGCCCAGUUGAUGAUCUUCCUGAUUAGCGUCGUCAGUUCCAUCUUCUGUGGGCAUCUGGGCAAAGUCGAGCUGGAUGCCGUUACUCUUGCGGUAUCGGUGGUGAAUGUUAUUGGGAUUUCAGUUGGAACUGACUUGGCCUCCGCUUGUGACAGGCUGAUGUCUCAGUCCUUCAGAGGCAAGAACCUAAAACGCGUGGGGAAUCACACUCCAAAGAGGAAUCCUCAUCUUGAUGCUGUGUUGCUUUCCUUGCUGGGCCAUCUUCAUCAAUACGGACCGUAUCCUCCUGCUCUUAAAACAAGAACCCGAAGUGUCCAGGAUAGCCCAGAUUUAUGUGAUGAUUUUCAUUCGUGCUCUUCCUGCAGCGUUCCUGUUUCAGCUGCAGACAAGAUAUUUACAAAGUCAGGGCAUCAUCAUGCCUCAGGUGAUCACUGGGAUUGCAGCAAAUGUGAUCAGUGUAGGCAUGAAUGCCCUCCUGCUCUAUGCCCUGGACCUUGGAGUGGUAGGAUCUGCCUGGGCAGACAGCACUUCCCAGUUCCUCCUGUGUGCUCUCCUUCUCCUGUACAUGUGGUGGGAAAAAAUCCACAUCAAUACCUGGAGAGGGUGGACUUGGGACUGUUUCCAAGAAUGGGGCUCCUACAUCCAGCUGGCUGUCCCCAGUAUGUUCAUGGUGUGCACCGAAUAGUGGACCUUUGAGAUCGGAACUUUCUUGCAGGACUGAUUAGCGUGACAGAGCUCGGGGCCCAGACCAUCAUUUACGAACUGGCCUCUGUAGCCUACAGGGUGCUCCUUGGCUUUGGUGUGGUGGCCAGUGUCCGAGUGGGCAAGGCUCUGGGGGCAGGGAAUGCCGAGCAGGCUCGGGACGCUAGCAUCACCGUUCUCCUGUGUGCGGGUGUCUGUACUCUCGUCGUGGGCGUUUUACUUUCGGCGAUGAAGGAUGUGAUUGCCUAUAUAUUUACCAGAGACAGAGCUAUUAUUUUACCUUGUGAGCCAAGUGAUGCCUAUUUUUGCUCCCUUUCAUCUAUUUGAUGCCC